CCAUCGGUGAUUCAGUGGUAGAAUGCUCGUCUGCCACGCGGGCGGCCCGGGUUCGAUUCCCGGCCAAUGCA
rnacentral:tRNA from 1 species